AAAAGGCAAAAAAUUAAGAAUUUGACUCUCAAAAGGAACUUGCAAUGUAAGGGGCAGACUCUGAAAGAUUUAUCUGCUUCUCAAUCAACAUCCACUGCUACAUCAUUUUCCAGUCCACCACCACCACACGAUGGAGAGUCGAGAGCGGCUAUUGGUGCUUGGCUAUUACUGUGAGGGAAUGAGAGCAAAGGAGACCGAAGGAAGGGAUGGAAUAAUACAUGAACAAAAUGUAAACAUGACCGGGAGAUAAAAGGAUUGCAGCUUCAUUUAGUUUCCACCCAAGAUUUGCCCAUCUUCUAAGGUGGAUCCUUUGUUUGAUCUUCGCUUAGUUUUCUCUUCUUGCAUGUAGCAGAGGAGAGUUGAUGAGACGUUCUUAGCUGUAGACUUCUAGAGCUUCAAAUGGGGCGUGAAAAGGGGGGGCUAGUCCUGGAUUAUGCUGCUUUUUUCCUGGAUUGAAGAUGCUUCAUCUCCUUGUUCUGCCAUGGGUAUCAGAGUGGAAGACGGGCGGCCGCGGUUUCCUUCAGUUCUGGGACCUGUAGCCACCAUAUGCAUUCAGAUUCUCAAAGCCUUUUGGUGAAUACCUCUCUCCCCACAGCACUUGGAAGGGGGACAUAUGCAUAAUUGUAUCUAUUGGUAACAAACAUAAAAAAGCACUCAUUUAGACCACCAAUGAAGGAAAUCUUUGCGCCUGUUGAUCUUUUUCUGAAGCUGGAGUAGCCCAUAGAGUAAGGCCUCGGCAGUGGGAGGGCAUCCUGGAACAUAAAUGUCUACAGGGACAAUUCUGUCACAACCACGAACAACAGAAUACGAGUAGUGAUAGUAUCCCCCACCGUUUGCACAGCUGCCCAUAGAGAUGACCCACCUUGGCUCAGGCAUUUGGUCAUAAACCCUGUAAAUAAUUUUCAUUACAACACCCAUUUCACAGUGCAAUCAUCUGUACAAAAGUGAAUACACAAAUAUUCAAUAUUCAUUUACAUACAAAAUAAAUAUAAAUAAAAACCUCAAUUGUGUUCGAAAUCCCAAAUAUAUUUGAAAAACAAUUCGAAAAUUAAGUACUUCAAAGCAAAA